AACUUAUUGCAACGUAUCUCUUGGUUCUGGCAUCGAUUAAGAACGCAGCGAAAUGCGAUAAGUAAUGUGAAUUGCAGAAUUCAGUGAAUCAUCGAAUCUUUGAACGCACAUUGCGCCCGCCAGUAUUCUGGCGGGCAUGCCUGUCCGAGCGUCAUUUCAACCCUCGAACCCCUCCGGGGGUCCGGCGUUGGGGAGCGGCCCUUUACCGGCCGGCCCGGAAAGACAGUGGCGGUCUCGCCGCAGCCUCUCCUGCGCAGUAGUUUGCACACUCGCACCGGGAGCGCGGCGCAGUCCAAUGCCGUAAAACACCCAACUUUCUGAAAUGUUGACCUCGGAUCAGGUAGGAAUACCCGCUGAACUUAAGCAUAUCAAUAAGCGGAGGCU
rnacentral:misc_RNA from 1 species